rnacentral:sRNA from 1 species
AAACAAUGAUGAGAUAUUAGCAGACGGGCGGU